CGACCCGAGACCUUCCCUGGAGGGACUCCGAACCUCGGCUCGCUCACUGCGGAGGCAAACAACGACCUGCUGGUAUUGCGGAUAAAACAGAAGCUUCCUGCUUGCUUUGCACCUGCUGCUGAGGCCCCAACCACCCUGAAGAGCCUGAUCCAGGAGGGUUGGUGGACUGUGGGGGGGCUCUGGGCACAGUUCCUCCCCAUCCUGGCCCACCUGGCCAGCUCAGGGAGAAGCUGGAGCAGCUGCAGUCACACCUGGGCAGGGAGGAGAGCACCAGGACAGCGGCCAGGCUGUGUAUGGCCCAGGCAGGGCUGAGUGCGUAUUUGGAGUCCCUGAACUGGGUUCAGAAGCUCAAGGGGGACUUCUCAGAAACCUCAAACUUGGCCCCAAAAUAGGCUUUGAAAUCGGCCCUGAAAUCAGAACAGAAAUUGGACCUGAAAUUGGAACCAAAAGCAGAACCAAAACUGGCACCAAAAGCGGCCCCGAAGGCAUUCCCAAAUCGGCCCCGAAAUUGGAACUGAAAUCGGACCUAGAGCAGCUUGGGCGGCAGCUCCAGAAAGAGAGGGCCGGAGUGGGGAGUGAUGGGAUUUUGGGGCAUUUUGAGAAUUUUUUUGGGGAUAGAUUUUGGGUAUUUGGGGCCAUUUUGCGGGGGAUUUGGGGUAAAUUUUGGAGUUUUUAGGGUCGUUUAUUGGGAUUUAGGGUAAUUUUGGGUUGUUUUGGGGUCUUGUUAGGGGUUU